rnacentral:misc_RNA from 1 species
CAGCUUAGGAUAGCAAGGACGCAUUUUUUUUUGUUUCAUGAAAUGCAAGCUAGCAAUAUUAAGCCUGAUGCGAUUACUAACUAACUAUGGUUCAUUACUAAACUGCCUGUUCCCAACUUGGAGUACAUGAAAUUGGAAUUUGGAUUCAUCAUUAUAUUGAAAAAUACAAAUGUUUCUGCAUAUAUUGUUUCAGGUACUGUUUUAGUUGAUGUGUAUGCAAAAUGUGGGAAUAUUACAAAGGCUCAUAAGGUUUUUCAUGAGAUGCCAGGAACAACACUAUGACUUGGACAGCCAUUAUUUGCGAUUUAGCCCAUCAUGCUAAUGCACAUGAUGCCAUAUCUUUUCCAGCAUGAUUGAUAUUGGAGUGAUGCCAGAUGAGAUCACAUUUCUUGGAGUUCUCUUAGCUUGCUGUUAGGAGGCUUAGUUGAAGAGGGUUGCAAGUAAU